UUAUGGCUCAGGACGAACGCUGGCGGCAUGCUUCAUACAUGCAAGUCGAACGAUAAGGUCUCUUCGGAGAUACAUAAGUGGCGGACGGGUGAGUAAUAUGUAGGAAAUCUGCCCUUGAGAGGGGGACAACAGAGGGAAACUUCUGCUAAUACCCCAUAUGAGCGUACCUGAAAUGGUAUUCUUGAAAACUCCGGUGCUCAAGGAUGAGCCUGCAUCUGAUUAGCUUGUUGGCGGUGUAAUGGACCACCAAGGCGACGAUCAGUAGCUGGUUUGAGAGGAUGAUCAGCCACAAUGGGACUGAGACACGGCCCAUACUCCUACGGGGGGCAGCAGUAGGGAAUUUUGCGCAAUGGGCGAAAGCCUGAACCGCAGCAAUGCCGCGUGAACGUAGAAGCCCUUCGGGGUGUAAAGUUCUGUCAGUGGGGACGAAUUCUGACGGUACCCACAGAGGAAGCACCGGCUAACUCCGUGCCAGCCGCCGC
rnacentral:rRNA from 1 species